UUGCCCGGACGACGACGGAGCUUCUCUCUAAUUCUCCCGUAUACCCAACUCUACAACUGUACGGCAAUUACAUUGAGGACUUCGACAGUUCAUUUUAUAUGCAGAUUGACGGGAUCCUUCAUAUCUACGGAUUAUGAAAUCGGUUUAAGCCAGGCAGCCAUGCACCGGUUCGAUUCUCGUUUUCCGAGGGGAGCGGACCUUGUUUCUCGUCAAAGUCCCUUGAAUAUUCACCACAUGCCCUAAAUUUGUACUGUACAAGAGAAGGAAGGGGCCUUGACUGUACGGUAUGCAUUCAUUAUCGAUCACUGCUAUUGUUUAUAUUUAUAUUUACCUAUUUCGCUUGAUAUUUUCCCCG
rnacentral:sRNA from 1 species